rnacentral:rRNA from 1 species
UACGGAGGGUGCAAACGUUGCUCGGAAUCAUUGGGCGUAAAGCGCACGUAGGCGGACCAUCAAGUCGGUUGUGAAAUCCCUCGGCUUAACCGAGGACGUGCAUUCGAAACUGAUGGCCUUGAGUACGAAAGAGGAUCGCGGAAUUCCCGGUGUAGAGGUGAAAUUCGUAGAUAUCGGGAGGAACACCAGUGGCGAAGGCGGCGAUCUGGGUCGAUACUGACACUGAGGUGCGAAAGCGUGGGGAGCAAACAGG